rnacentral:snoRNA from 1 species
GCUGGCGAUGAUGACACACUUGCCCUCACUGAGAUCCUUUGCGAGGAUUGUUGUUGAGAACAUCCUCUGUGCUCAUGGUGUACUGAGCCUCC